rnacentral:rRNA from 1 species
AACGAACGCUGGCGGCGUGCCUAACACAUGCAAGUCGAACGAGAAAGGGGCUUCGGCUCCGAGUAAAGUGGCGCACGGGUGAGUAACACGUAGGUAACCUGCCUCUAAGAUUGGGAUAACUUGUCGAAAGAUGAGCUAAUACCAAAUAAGACCACGGUUUCCUCGGGGGACGAGGGGUACAAAGGUAGCCUCUAUUUAUAAGCUAUCGCUGAGAGAUGGGCCUGCGUACCAUUAGCUAGUUGGNGAGGUAACGGCUCACCAAGGCAAAGAUGGUUAGCUGGUCUGAGAGGAUGAUCAGCCACACUGGAACUGAGACACGGUCCAGACUCCGUACGGGAGGCAGC